rnacentral:rRNA from 1 species
ACGUAGGUGGCAAGCGUUGUUCGGAAUUAUUGGGCGUAAAGGGCGCGUAGGCGGUUUGUUAAGUCGGCUGUGAAAGCCCGGGGCUCAACCCCGGAGGGUCAGCCGAUACUGGCAGACUAGAGUACGGAAGAGGUAGCUGGAAUUCCCGGUGUAGCGGUGAAAUGCGUAGAUAUCAGGAGGAACACCGGUGGCGAAGGCGGGUCUCUGGGCAACAACUGACGCUGAGGAGCGAAAGCGUGGGGAGCGAACAGGA